GAUGAACGCUAGCUACAGGCUUAACACAUGCAAGUCGAGGGGCAUCAGGAAGAAAGCUUGCUUUCUUUGCUGGCGACCGGCGCACGGGUGAGUAACACGUAUCCAACCUGCCCUUUACUCGGGGAUAGCCUUUCGAAAGAAAGAUUAAUACCCGAUGGCAUAAUGAUUCCGCAUGGUUUCAUUAUUAAAGGAUUCCGGUAAAGGAUGGGGAUGCGUUCCAUUAGGUUGUUGGUGAGGUAACGGCUCACCAAGCCUUCGAUGGAUAGGGGUUCUGAGAGGAAGGUCCCCCACAUUGGAACUGAGACACGGUCCAAACUCCUACGGGAGGCAGCAGUGAGGAAUAUUGGUCAAUGGGCGCUAGCCUGAACCAGCCAAGUAGCGUGAAGGAUGAAGGCUCUAUGGGUCGUAAACUUCUUUUAUAUAAGAAUAAAGUGCAGUAUGUAUACUGUUUUGUAUGUAUUAUAUGAAUAAGGAUCGGCUAACUCCGUGCCAGCAGCCGCGGUAAUACGGAGGAUCCGAGCGUUAUCCGGAUUUAUUGGGUUUAAAGGGAGCGUAGGUGGACUGGUAAGUCAGUUGUGAAAGUUUGCGGCUCAACCGUAAAAUUGCAGUUGAUACUGUCAGUCUUGAGUACAGUAGAGGUGGGCGGAAUUCGUGGUGUAGCGGUGAAAUGCUUAGAUAUCACGAAGAACUUCGAUUGCGAAGGCAGCUCACUGGACUGCAACUGACACUGAUGCUCGAAAGUGUGGGUAUCAAACAGG
rnacentral:rRNA from 1 species